GAACUGCGAUAAGUAAUGUGAAUUGCAGAAUUCAGUGAAUCAUCGAGUCUUUGAACGCACAUUGCGCCCACUGGCAUUCCGGGGGGCAUGCCUGUCCGAGCGUCAUUGCUGCCCUUCAAGCCCGGCUUGUGUGUUGGGUCGUCGUCCCCUCCGGGGGACGGGCCCGAAAGGCAGCGGCGGCACCGCGUCCGGUCCUCGAGCGUAUGGGGCUUUGUCACCCGCUCGAUAAGGACCGGCCGGGCGCCAGCCGGCGUCUCCAACCUUUUUUUCUCAGGUUGACCUCGGAUCAGGUAGGGAUACCCGCUGAACUUAAGC
rnacentral:misc_RNA from 1 species